CCGGGGGGGGGUGCUAUACAUGCAAGUCGAGCGGACAGAUGGGAGCUUGCUCCCUGAUGUUAGCGGCGGACGGGUGAGUAACACGUGGGUAACCUGCCUGUAAGACUGGGAUAACUCCGGGAAACCGGGGCUAAUACCGGAUGCUUGAUUGAACCGCAUGGUUCAAUUAUAAAAGGUGGCUUUUAGCUACCACUUACAGAUGGACCCGCGGCGCAUUAGCUAGUUGGUGAGGUAACGGCUCACCAAGGCAACGAUGCGUAGCCGACCUGAGAGGGUGAUCGGCCACACUGGGACUGAGACACGGCCCAGACUCCUACGGGAGGCAGCAGUAGGGAAUCUUCCGCAAUGGACGAAAGUCUGACGGAGCAACGCCGCGUGAGUGAUGAAGGUUUUCGGAUCGUAAAACUCUGUUGUUAGGGAAGAACAAGUACCGUUCGAAUAGGGCGGUACCUUGACGGUACCUAACCAGAAAGCCACGGCUAACUACGUGCCAGCAGCCGCGGUAAUACGUAGGUGGCAAGCGUUGUCCGGAAUUAUUGGGCGUAAAGCGCGCGCAGGCGGUUUCUUAAGUCUGAUGUGAAAGCCCCCGGCUCAACCGGGGAGGGUCAUUGGAAACUGGGGAACUUGAGUGCAGAAGAGGAGAGUGGAAUUCCACGUGUAGCGGUGAAAUGCGUAGAGAUGUGGAGGAACACCAGUGGCGAA
rnacentral:rRNA from 1 species